UUAAGUUAAUAAGGGCGCACGGUGGAUGCCUUGGCACUAGGAGCCGACGAAGGACGUGACAAACGACGAUAUGCCUUGGGUAGCUGUAAGUAAGCGAUGAUCCAGGGAUUUCCGAAUGGGGGAACCCAACAGGUANAGGGCAAACCGAAGAGUUUACUCUUCGGGGUUGUAGGACUGCAAUGUGGACUCAAAGAUUAUAGAAGAAUGAUUUGGGAAGAUCAGCCAAAGAGAGUAAUAGCCUCGUAUUUAAAAUAGUCUUUGUACUUAGCAGUAUCCUGAGUACGGCGGGACACGUGAAAUCCCGUCGGAAUCUGGGAGGACCAUCUCCCAACCCUAAAUACUCCCUAGUGACCGAUAGUGAACCAGUACCGUGAGGGAAAGGUGAAAAGCACCCCGGGAGGGGAGUGAAAUAGAACCUGAAACCGUGUGCCUACAACAAGUUCGAGCCCGUUAAUGGGUGAGAGCGUGCCUUUUGUAGAAUGAACCGGCGAGUUACGUUAUGAUGCGAGGUUAAGUUGAAGAGACGGAGCCGUAGGGAAACCGAGUCUGAAUAGGGCGCCUUAGUAUCAUGACGUAGACCCGAAACCAUGUGACCUACCCAUGAGCAGGUUGAAGGUGCGGUAAGACGCACUGGAGGACCGAACCAGGGCACGUUGAAAAGUGCUUGGAUGACUUGUGGGUAGCGGAGAAAUUCCAAACGAACUUGGAGAUAGCUGGUUCUCUCCGAAAUAGCUUUAGGGCUAGCGUCGACAUUAGAGAUUCUUGGAGGUAGAGCACUGUUUGGGUGAGGGGUCCAUCCCGGAUUACCAAUCUCAGAUAAACUCCGAAUGCCAAUGAAUUAUGGUCGGCAGUCAGACUGCGAGUGCUAAGAUCCGUAGUCGAAAGGGAAACAGCCCAGACCACCAGCUAAGGUCCCAAAAUAAUUGUUAAGUGGAAAAGGAUGUGGGGUUGCACAGACAACUAGGAUGUUAGCUUAGAAGCAGCUAUUCAUUCAAAGAGUGCGUAAUAGCUCACUAGUCGAGUGACCCUGCGCCGAAAAUGUACCGGGGCUAAAACAAUUUACCGAAGCUGUGGAUACCUUUAUAGGUAUGGUAGGAGAGCGUUCUAUGUGUGAUGAAGGUAUACCGUGAGGAGUGCUGGAACGCAUAGAAGUGAGAAUGCCGGUAUGAGUAGCGAAAGACAGGUGAGAAUCCUGUCCACCGUAAGACUAAGGUUUCCAGGGGAAGGCUCGUCCGCCCUGGGUUAGUCGGGACCUAAGGAGAGACCGAAAGGUGUAUCCGAUGGACAACAGGUUGAUAUUCCUGUACUAGAGUAUGUAGUGAUGGAGGGACGCAGUAGGCUAACUAAAGCAGACGAUUGGAAGAGUCUGUCUAAGCAGUGAGGUGUGAAUUGAGUCAAAUGCUUAAUUCUAUAACAUUGAGCUGUGAUGGGGAGCGAAGUUUAGUAGCGAAGUUAGUGACGUCACACUGCCAAGAAAAGCUUCUAGCGUUUAAACAUACUCUACCCGUACCGCAAACCGACACAGGUAGUCGAGGCGAGUAGCCUCAGGUGAGCGAGAGAACUCUCGUUAAGGAACUCGGCAAAAUGACCCCGUAACUUCGGGAGAAGGGGUGCUGACUUUAAGUCAGCCGCAGUGAAUAGGCCCAAGCAACUGUUUAUCAAAAACACAGCUCUCUGCUAAAUCGUAAGAUGAUGUAUAGGGGGUGACGCCUGCCCGGUGCUGGAAGGUUAAGAGGAGUGCUUAGCGUAAGCGAAGGUAUGAAUUGAAGCCCCAGUAAACGGCGGCCGUAACUAUAACGGUCCUAAGGUAGCGAAAUUCCUUGUCGGGUAAGUUCCGACCUGCACGAAAGGCGUAAUGAUUUGGGCACUGUCUCAACGAGAGACUCGGUGAAAUUUUAGUACCUGUGAAGAUGCAGGUUACCCGCGACAGGACGGAAAGACCCCAUGGAGCUUUACUGCAGUUUGAUAUUGAGUGUCUGUACCACAUGUACAGGAUAGGUAGGAGUCUAAGAGAUCGGGACGCCAGUUUCGAAGGAGACGCUGUUGGGAUACUACCCUUGUGUUAUGGCCACUCUAACCCAGAUAGGUGAUCCCUAUCGGAGACAGUGUCUGACGGGCAGUUUGACUGGGGCGGUCGCCUCCUAAAAGGUAACGGAGGCGCCCAAAGGUUCCCUCAGAAUGGUUGGAAAUCAUUCGCAGAGUGUAAAGGUAUAAGGGAGCUUGACUGCGAGAGCUACAACUCGAGCAGGGACGAAAGUCGGGCUUAGUGAUCCGGUGGUUCCGUAUGGAAGGGCCAUCGCUCAACGGAUAAAAGCUACCCUGGGGAUAACAGGCUUAUCUCCCCCAAGAGUUCACAUCGACGGGGAGGUUUGGCACCUCGAUGUCGGCUCGUCGCAUCCUGGGGCUGUAGUCGGUCCCAAGGGUUGGGCUGUUCGCCCAUUAAAGCGGCACGCGAGCUGGGUUCAGAACGUCGUGAGACAGUUCGGUCCCUAUCCGUCGCGGGCGUAGGAAAUUUGAGAGGAUCUGCUCCUAGUACGAGAGGACCAGAGUGGACUUACCGCUGGUGUACCAGUUGUCUUGCCAAAGGCAUCGCUGGGUAGCUAUGUAGGGAAGGGAUAAACGCUGAAAGCAUCUAAGUGUGAAACCCACCUCAAGAUGAGAUUUCCCAUGAUUAUAUAUCAGUAAGAGCCCUGAGAGAUGAUCAGGUAGAUAGGUUAGAAGUGGAAGUGUGGCGACACAUGUAGCGGACUAAUACUAAUAGCUCGAGGACUUAUCCAA
rnacentral:rRNA from 1 species